rnacentral:rRNA from 1 species
UUAACACAUGCAAGUCGUAACGGUAGUCAGGAGAGAAAGCUUGCUUUACUUUGCUGACGAGUGGCGGACGGGUGAGUAAUGCUUGGGAAUCUGGCUUAUGGAGGGGGAUAACUGUGGGAAACUGCAGCUAAUACCGCGUAGUAUCGAGAGAUGAAAGGGUGGGACCUUCGGGCCACCUGCCAUAAGAUGAGCCCAAGUGGGAUUAGGUAGUUGGUGGGGUAAAGGCCUACCAAGCCGACGAUCUCUAGCUGGUCUGAGAGGAUGACCAGCCACACUGGGAACCUGAGAAGCACGGCCCCAGACUCACUACCGGGAGGCAGCAGUGGGGAAUAUUGCGACAAUGGGGGGAACCCUGACGCAGCCAUGCCGCGUGAAUGAAGAAGGCCUUCGGGUUGUAAAGUUCUUUCGGUAAUGAGGAAGGGGUAUUAUUGAAUAGAUAAUAUCAUUGACGUUAAUUACAGAAGAAGCACCGGCUAACUCCGUGCCAGCAGACCAGCGGUAAUACGGAGGGUGCGAGCGUAAAUCGGAAUAACUAGGGCCGUAAAGGGCACGCAUGGCGGACUUGUAAGUGAGAUGUGAAAUCCNCGAGCUUAACUUGGGAACUGCAUAUCAGACUGGGAAGUUCUAGAAGUUACUUAUAGGGGAGGGGGUAGAAUUCCCAGCGUGUAGCCGGUGAAAUGCGUAGAGAUGUGGAGGAAUACCGAAGGCGAAGGCAGCC